CUGUCCACUGUACUGGUCAGCACAGAUCCUCUCCCGGUCUAUCCUCUGGCAGUGCAGCUGUGGUCCAGCCCUGCUGUCAGUGUCCAGUCCUGUGGGCAGUGCUGGGAGUCCUCUCUGUGCUGCUGCUCUGCAGUGUGGCUGCUGCUGUGAGGGGGAGAGGGGGGAGAUCCCAGCUCCAGCAGCACCCUGAGACUCGGGUGCGAAAGGAGAGCGGAGAGGCUGUGGGGGCUGAAGGACACUAUCAGGAGCUCUCUCACAGGGACACUGCAGUGUAUGAGCUCUGUGGGACUCAGCAUCAGCACAGGACACAGUAGAGCAGAGCUGCCACUCUGGAGCUACACAGCAGGAGGACACAGCUGGAGGACUCAUCUUUUAUGAGAUGACUGGAGUGUUUUUAACAGUGGACAUUAAACACCCAGUUAUCAACCAUGACACUUUCUCCUCUCAUCUGUGACUCUCAAACCUCUGUAUCUGUGCUUUUCUCAAGACAGCCUUUAGUGUAGACAGGAGAAGUGAUCCAAACUGUAUGUAGACCCUGUUUCAGGGACUGG